AUGAGCAAACUGUCAGUCAGCGUCCUACGUUCGCUCAGGAUGGACAUAAAAUACGUUUUGGUAGAUUUUUUCACAGACAACACCGUUCAUAUAUGUGAACUUUCACAAAUAAAACACAAAAAUAUGUCAAAACUACACCCCGAGGCCAUUCACAAGUGGAACAAAGAUGAGGAAGCAUAUGUUUACUGGAAGAAAACUUCGUCAGGCGAGCUGCAGCGUUGGCCUUGUCGAGUCAUCCAGUUUAGUGGAAAAUGCACCAGUAACCAAAAAAAAGAAAAAGACCAAAAACAUCAUUCAACAGAAGAUUAUGGCUGCGGUGAAACAAAGCUGCACUCAAAUAAAUGUCAGCAGGAAACUACAUUAUUUUAUCUUUUGUAAACUAUAACUUUACAGCUAGAAUACAUAAUAACUGAUAUUGUACUUCAGGAACCAAGACCUGCCGUGGGAGUGCUGAAGGAUUCAAGUGUACCAAGUCCUUCGUCUCCUCAGCCAUGUAAGAGGUCAGACAUGGCUGAAGAGAUCAAAGAGUUUAAAAAUGAAAUUAAAGAGCUUAAAGAAGAUUUAAAAUAUGAGCGUCGCUUCAGGAUAAAAGCAGAGAGAGAGCUGAGGGAGUGGAAAGGUAAUGAAAUCUAGCUAUAGUGCAGCAAUUGUUCUCAAUCUUCUUCAGUAUAUAUAAUAUCAUAUUCUUUUUGAAUACUCGAUUCUGAUUGGCUGGAAGGUGUGCAUUAAACAAUGAAUGCACAGGUUACAAGUCAGUUGAAUCACUGUUCUAAAUUAAUGUGCUGCUUUUAUUGUAGGACACACACACACACACACACACACACACACUCACAUACACUCACACACAGGCAGUCACUCGCAAAAAGAGAUCUUGCAAUGAUCUCACACGCAGAAAUAUCAAAAGUAACCGAAAAGUAACCUGGUCUGUCCUGUCUGUCAGUGAGUGCGUUGUCAGUCUCUUCUCUGCCACGCAAUGUAUUUUUCCUUGCGUAAGAACAUGGAAGGUCAUGAGAGCAGUGUAGCUUGUCAGGCAUAGCGACAGUAACUAAGGGGGGUGGGUCUUUGCGAACUGACAAUUAAAGUGACAGCUUCAUUAGGAAAAUGCUGUGCCUGAUGAAAAUAGGCUAAUUUUUCAACUGUGCCUGAUGAAAAUAGGCUAAUUUUUCAACUCCCCAUUUAUCCUGACCACGACUGUAUUUAUCAAUUCAUAUUAAUAUUUUUCCCAAUUAUUUUAUUUUGAUUUUAGAUUAGAAUCUUGA
rnacentral:lncRNA from 1 species